CUCUCCCUCAUUCUUUGCAGUUGCUUAUGCUGAGAGGAUGACCUUGGGUGUGUCAUAUACGGGGUCAGAUCCCUUCUGCCGGGAUGUCUUGUCUCCACGUGACCCUUCUCGCUUCCUCCCGAUUGGUGCCGUCACAGCUGUUCUACGAAGCGCGGGCCCCUCAGUGACUGCUCUUUUAUUGGACACCCAGUUUGACCAGUCUGAUGGUUUCCAUUUCUGAAGGACUCAUCGCUGUUGUAGACCCAGUUAUUUUCUUCCCCCAGCUUUCUCUUUGAGAAUGUUGGGUUAAAAACGACUUCAGGAGUUCCUGUUGCGGCUCAGCAGUAACAAAGUCAACUAGUAUCCAUGAGGACACCGGUUCAAUCCCUGGCCCCACUCAGUGGGUUAAGGAGCCAGUGUUACUGUGAGCUGUGGUGUCAGUUGCGAAUGUGACUCAGAUCUGGCAUUGCUGUGGCUGUGGUGUAAGCUGUAGCUCCAGUUCGACCCCUAGCCCGGGAAACUCCACAUGCCACACUUUCGGGUGCAAAAAGAAAAAAGAAAAGAAAAGUACUUUAAGAAGUACUAGAUCUUUGUGCCCACCUAAUAGUAUCAUGCCCAGGAUCACCCCAGCCACAGACCAGCCAUGGCCCCUGAUGGAGUCCCCGUGUCUCCUGCUUUGCCUCCUCCUUUCAGUGUCUUCUCUACCCAACCAGGACUGUCCUAUAGCAGUUGACAGAUGGGGGGUCCUCAAUCCUGGCAUUGUGGGCACUGACUGAGUCCCAGAACUCGGUUUACCUCUCCUUUCUGGAGGUUAAUCAGGUCUUCAAACGUAUCCUGGUACAGGAGGCUGGAAACACUCUCCUGGGGGUUGGCUUCGUCUUUGGUUUAAGACGAUGACGUCGAAGAAGGAUUUGUUUCACUGGCCCUCUUAAGUGCUUCGCUUAUGGGCCCCUCUUUUCAUCUGAUUUGGGUUUUAUUUUUGGUUUUGGUUUUAAAGUUUUAUUGAGGUACAGUUGAUUUACACAAUGUGGUGUUAAUUUCUGCUGUACAGCGAAGUGAUUCAGUUAUACAUAUACCCGUUUCUAUUCUUUUUCAGAUUCUUAUCCCAUAUAGGUUAUUACAGAAUAUUGAGUGGAGUCCUAAAUGAAUAAUUCAGACAGAGAAAAGAGUUCCCGUCAUGCCUCAGCAGAAACAAAUCCAACUAGGAACCGUGGGGUUGCGGGUUUGAUCCCUUGCCUUGCUCAGUGGGUUAAGGAUCGGGCAUUGCCGUGAGCUGUGGUGCAGGUCCCAGAUGCAACUUGGAUCUGGCGUUGCUGUGGCUGUGGUGUAGGCUGGCAGCUGUAGCUCUGGUUAGAGCCCUAGCCUGGGAAUUUCCAUAUGCAGAGAACGUGGCCCUAAAAAGAAAAGAAAAAAAGGGGAAAAAAAAAACACUUAGGCAACAGACUUAUGGUUACCAAAGAGGAACGGGCAGGGGAGGGAGGAAUUGGGGGCUUGGUACUGGCCCAUGAACAGCACUGUAUAUGGAAUUGAUGGUCAGGAGGGGACCCGCUGUACAGCACAGGGACCCUGCCGUCUGAUGUGAUUUUCCCUUCUGUUCUGGAAGCUUUCCUUCCCUUUUCAUUUCUUGUCUCUGUUGGCUCCCUCAGAUCUCUUUUGUUUACCCCCUCCCACCCCCAUACCUCCCCCACUUUCAUUGGCUCUCUCCAUCACUCCAUCAUCCUAUUAAAACCUGCCUCUUGGAGCUCCGCUGUGGUUUAACUGGGUCAGAGGUGUCUUGGGAGCACUGGGAUGUAGAUUUGAUCCCCUGCCAGGCACAGUUGGUUUAGGAUCAAGUGUUGCGUAGCUGAGGCUUAAGUUGCAGCUGCAGAUGAGAUCUGAUCCCUGGCCCCAGGCUCCUAUGCCAUGGGGCAGC
rnacentral:lncRNA from 1 species